rnacentral:lncRNA from 1 species
UACACACAAUCUUGACACUCAGUGACAGAGAUUAAUUUCAAAUCACAAAGAAAACAAAUGGGCUGAGAUAAAAGGGAGGAACUAUAUUAGCUAGGGGUCAGGGGACCUCUCCAAGGAGGUGAUAUUUAAAUGAAAAUGAGAGUAUAGAGAAGAGAGGGUGAAACUUGAGCCAGCAACUAAUCAAACCUCAUUGAAAACAGUUGCUUUGGGGGAAUGAGUCAGUGGAGGAAAGACCAGGGAGCAGAAUGUGGAAAGAGAAGGGUCAAGAAUGGAAGAAUUGUGUAAUUUGUUGUCCGUCUCUCCCCUCAGGAGCAGUCCAGGGAGAUGAUACAGCUGCCUGGUUGUUGGUCACCAGGGCUGUUGGACACCUGUGUGGAGGACCUGGGAGAAGUCUUUUUCUCCACACUUGCUCCUUUCCUGCCAGGAAAUUCCCACUUAAUUACAUUGAGGACAUCACCACCAUGAUCAUACUUGUUGAUAUGGUUUGGCUGUGUCCGCACCCAAAUCUCAUCUCGAAUGGUAGCUCCUGUAAUUCCCACGUGUCAUGGGAGGGGCCCAGUU